rnacentral:lncRNA from 1 species
GGAACAGCUAUGUUGCCUAGACAACAUGUAGCAUGUUCAGCAAAACUAAUUUCUAAGAAAUGACUGGUCAGGCUAGACUGGUAAAACAUUACCCAGCUCUCAGCUUUCCCUGCAUUGUGUCAAGGGACCAAGGAGUAAUAAGAGGACUGAUUAUUCUUUUGUGACUAUUAAAAGUAGUGGAGCGAGCAAGAGACCUACAGCACGUGAUGUAGUAGAAAACAAAUGUAAUCAAUGUUUUCAUGGCAACAUAAGCAGGAGCUUUUGUGUUCUUCUGUUGCUCUCCCCAGUGUGGAACUGGGAUUCUGGAGGGAUGUUCAGGAAAGCAAGGAUUGAGCUUUGGUCCCAUUUCUGUAGUUGAUGGACAGAACUGAAGAAUUUUUGCUCACUUGUGCAGAUAGAAAAGUGCUUAAAUCCUCAUCUACUUUUCCUAUCCAUCCAUGGCAACUUUCAAGUGUAUAUCACCAUUUCUCUCACCCUCUUGGACAAACAGAAAAAUAUCUCAUGAAAUAGCAUUUAUGUUGCAGUCAUGCUUACAUAACACUGGCAAUCUUCCAUCUGCUAGGUACCAAGUCUGAUUAUUACAUUCUCCUCAUGUUAUUACUCAAACAGAUUAUGUCUUUAUUUAUACACAAUUGGUACAUCUGUAGAAUUGAAUGCUUCAUGUUUUGAUUGAUUACAUCAUAUUUUACCAGUUACUUUGCAAGAGAUCUAGGAUGUUAGCAUUGGGAUCUUUCCAAAUGUGAUGAGCUAUACAAGUCUCAUGAUGUUGUCAUAAGUGAUGCAGAAACUAGCCAAUUUGGACUAAAUAAAAGUCACCCAUAAGUGUCA